rnacentral:rRNA from 1 species
AUUGAACGCUGGCGGCAGGCCUAACACAUGCAAGUCGAACGAGUGGCGGACGGGUGAGUAAUGUCUGGGAAACUGCCUGAUGGAGGGGUCUAACUACUGGAAACGGUAGCUAAUACUGCAUACCAUCAGAUGUGCCCAGAUGGGAUUAGCUCGUUGGGGGGGUAACGGCUCACCAAGGCGACGAUCCCUAGCUGGUCUGAGAGGAUGACCAGCAACACUGGAACUGAGAAACGGUCCAGACUCCUACGUGAGGCAGCAGUGGGGAAGAUUGGACAAUGGGCGCAAGCCUGAUGCAGCCAUGCCGCGUGUAUGAAGAAGGCUUUCGGGUUGUAAAGUACUGUCAGCGGGGAGGCGUUACCCGCAGAAGAAGCACCGGCUAACUCCGUGCCAGCAGCCGCGGUAAUUC